rnacentral:rRNA from 1 species
CUUUACUAUACGCUGGCAUUGUGUCGUUAAUUUACAUGUGUAGCAUAGGUGGGAGACUUUGAAGCUGGGGCGUUAGCCCUGGUGGAGUCACAAUAUGAAAUACCACCCUUGUGCUUUGACGACACUCACUCUGUUUGUGAAACGCAUCAGAAGACAGUGCUUGCCGGGUAGUUUAACUGGGGCGGUUGCCUCCUAAAGUGUAACGGAGGCGCGCAAUGGUCUACUAGCGCCGGAUGGAAAUCGGCGUAGUCGUGUAAUCGCACAAGUAGGCCUGACUGUGAGACUUACAGGUCGAGCAGAGACGAAAGUCGGUGAUAGUGAUCCGGCACCUGAGUCGUUUUAUUAUGACUCUUACCACGUGGGUGGGG